rnacentral:lncRNA from 1 species
GGUGCCCCCGCUACCAAGCUGCCCGUGCCCCCAGGUGCCAAGCUGAAGACGACGCCGGCUGCCAAGUCCAGGCUGCAGCAUCCCACCAGCAGGGCCUCGCAGCUGGCACUGCCGUCCGCUGGGACCAAGGCUCCUCCCCACCGGGACAAAGCGAUGGAAACUGCUGGCAAGGCUGGGGGCCGCAGACAGUCCCCUCAGAGGCUUCCCACCGCGAUUCCUACCGUGGCUUCUCGCUCCCGAUUGCAGCCAGCGGGAAAAGUGGCACCUUCCUCCAAGCACACUUACCUAGGUUGUACUUCAGAAUCGACUUCUCAGGAAUCGGUAUGCAAUAGGACCCGAGAGCUGAUGGAAAAUGAUAAAGCUGACCAGACGUGGGUGUGUGUGGGGUCCCCUUAUCUCAGUGCACUGCACCCUUGCCUUGCUACAGGCUGUGGGGAUGCAGCCUGUGCUGCGCAGCUGUCCCAGGAGCUGGAGCAUGUGAAGAAAGAGCUGGAACGAGUGAAAGGGGAGCUAGCUGAUAAGGCUGCCGAGUGUGAAGCCUAUUGUCAGACAAUCUCCUCCUUGCAGGCUCAGCUCAGAGCAGCAGGAAUCUGUCCAGAAGAUGCUACAGAGGAUAAGACAAGCAUCUGGGAGAGAAACUGACAGCUUCCCCCAACACACGGGACAGAUGGCAGAGACUUGUCCAGGCACCUGAGCUGCUGGGCCAGCGAUAUUUACAGAGCACUUGCACAAAUGGAUGUUCUUAACUCCUUGUAUUCAAAAUAAAUGUGUUUUCUUGCAGUGUGCUUGCUGUCUG